UACGGAGGGUGCAAGCGUUGUCCGGAUUUAUUGGGUUUAAAGGGUGCGUAGGCGGCCUGUUAAGUCAGCGGUGAAAGUUUUCGGCUCAACCGGAAAAUUGCCAUUGAUACUGUUGACCUUGAGUAAUUAUGAAGUGGUUAGAAUAUGUAGUGUAGCGGUGAAAUGCAUAGAUAUUACAUAGAAUACCGAUUGCGAAGGCAGAUCACUAAUAAUUCACUGACACUGAGGUGCGAAAGCGUGGGUAGCAAACAGG
rnacentral:misc_RNA from 1 species